rnacentral:rRNA from 1 species
GAUGAACGCUAGCUACAGGCUUAACACAUGCAAGUCGAGGGGCAGCAUGGAAGAAGCUUGCUUCUUCUGAUGGCGACCGGCGCACGGGUGCGUAACGCGUAUCAAACCUGCCUCAUACUCGGGGAUAGCCUUGCGAAAGUAAGAUUAAUACCCGAUGUUGUUAUGUUUCCGCAUGGUGAUAUAACCAAAGAUUUAUCGGUAUGAGAUGGUGAUGCGUCCGAUUAGGUAGUAAGCGGGGUAACGGCCCACCUAGCCAUCGAUCGGUAGGGGUUCUGAGAGGAAGGUCCCCCACACUGGAACUGAGACACGGUCCACACUCCUAUGGGAGGCUUCAGUGAGGAAUAUUGGUCAAUGGACGGAAGUCUGAACUAGUGAAGUAUCGUGGAGGAGGACGGACCUCCGGGUUGUAAACUGCUUUUAUCUGGGAAUAAAAACAGGGAAGUGUCCCUAAUUGUAUGUACCUUGUGAAAAAGGACCGUCUAAUUCCGUGCCAUCCGCCGCGGUAAUACGGAAGGUCCUUGCGUUGUCCGCAUUCAUUGCGUUCGCAUGGAGCUCACGUGCUAUUAAUCUCUGUUUUUAUAAGACGUUGGCACAACCAACCACAUCCGGUGUUACUGUUACUCUUGUAUGGCUAUCCCCGAGUCUGAAGUCGUGUUGAAACGCGUUAAUCAUCUGUGAGCACGACGAAAUCAGAUAAAGAAAGCUUCUUUUCUGCCUGCCCCCUGACUCUAUGUGUUAAGUCUGGGUCAAGAGUCAUCCUCGCCACGCGCACACUCAAGGGCGAAUUUCCCCUUGGUUGCAGCUGGGGGAUCCUUGUUCUAGAGGGGGGGCCGGCGGUAUUUCAAUUCCCUUUUUGAAUGUCUAUCAAAUUAUUCCCUUUUUUCUAUCCCGUCCUGAUUUUCC